GACGUAGGGCGCGAGCGUUGUCCGGAUUUAUUGGGCGUAAAGAGCUCGUAGGCGGUCUGUUGCGUCCGCUGUGAAAACUCGGGGCUUAACCCCGAGCCUGCAGUGGAUACGGGCAGACUAGAGGUAGGUAGGGGAGAAUGGAAUUCCCGGUGUAGCGGUGAAAUGCGCAGAUAUCAGGAGGAACACCGAUGGCGAAGGCAGGUCUCUGGGCCACUACUGACGCUGAGAAGCGAAAGCAUGGGGGAGCGAACAGG
rnacentral:rRNA from 1 species